rnacentral:rRNA from 1 species
CAGUAGCCGCGGUAAUACGGAGGGUGCAAGCGUUAAUCGGAAUUACUGGGCGUAAAGCGCACGCAGGCGGUCUGACAAGUCAGAUGUGAAAUCCCCGGGCUUAACCUGGGAACUGCAUUUGAAACUGUCAGGCUGGAGUCUUGUAGAGGGGGGUGGAAUUCCAGGUGUAGCGGUGAAAUGCGUAGAGAUCUGGAGGAAUACCGGUGGCGAAGGCGGCCCCCUGGACAAAGACUGACGCUCAGGUGCGAAAGCGUGGGGAGCAAACAGGAUUAGAUACCCGUGUAGUCCCUGUCUCUUAUAU